AUGGUGAGGACUGAGGACUUCUGCCGGGUGAUCGAUAAGAAACUUCGGAACCUGGAGAAGAAAAAGGGUAAGCUUGAUGAUUACCAGGAACGAGUGAACAAAGGGGAAAGGCUUAAUCAAGAUCAGCUGGAUGCCGUUUCUAAGUACCAGGAAGUCACAAAUAAUUUGGAGUUUGCAAAAGAAUUACAGAGGAGCUUCAUGGUACUAAGUCAAGAUAUUCAGAAAACAAUAAAGAAGACAGCACGUUGGGAGCAGCUGAUGAGAGAAGAAGCUGAACAGAAAUGUUUAAAAACUGUACUUGAGCUGCAGAAUGUUUUGGACAAACCAGGAGAUGAUGAAGUGCGAACUGACCGGAAACAAGGUUUGAAUGGAGUGCCAAUAUUGUCUGAAGAGGAAUUGUCACUGUUGGAUGAAUUCUGUAAGUUAGUAGACCCUGAAUGGGACAUGAGCUUGAGGUCGAAUGAACAGUAUGAACAUGCCUCCAUUCACCUGUGGGACCUGCUGGAAGGGAAGGAAAAAUCUGUAUGUGGAACCACCUAUAAAGUUCUAAAGGAAAUUGUUGAGCGUGUUUUUCAGUCAAACUACUUUGACAGCACCCACAACCACCAGAAUGGGUUGUGUGAGGAAGAAGAGGCAGCCUUAGCACCUACAGUUGAAAACCAGGUAGCUGAAGCUGAACCUGAGCCAGCAGAAGAGUACACUGAGCAAAAUGAAGUUGAAUCAACAGAGUAUGUAAGUAGACAGUUCAUGGCAGAAACACAGUUCACCAGUGGUGAAAAGGAGCAGGUAGAUGAGUGGAGAGUUGAAACAGUUGAGGUGGUAAAUUCACUCCAGCAGCAACCUCAGGCUGCAUCCCCUUCAGUACCAGAGCCCCACUCUUUGACUCCCGUGGCUCAAGCAGAUCCCCUUGUGAGAAGACAGUGAGUACAAGACCUUAUGGCACAGAUGCAGAGUCCCUAUAAUUUCAUACAGGAUUCAAUGCUGGAUUUUGAAAACCAGACACUUGAUCCUGCCAUUGUAUCUGCACAGCCUAUGAAUCCAGCACAAAACAUGGACAUGCCCCAGCUGGUUUGCCCUCCAGUUCAUUCUGAAUCUAGGCUUGCUCAGCCUACUCAAGUUCCUGUACAACCAGAAGCCACACAGGUUCCUUUGGUGUCAUCCACAAGUGAGGGGUAUACAGCGUCUCAACCCCUGUACCAGCCUUCUCAUGCUACAGAGCAACGACCACAGAAGGAACCAAUCGAUCAGAUUCAGGCAACAAUCUCUUUAAAUACAGACCAGACCACAGCAUCAUCAUCCCUUCCUGCUGCUUCUCAGCCUCAAGUAUUUCAGGCUGGGACAAGCAAACAUUUACAUAGCAGUGGAAUCAAUGUAAAUGCAGCUCCAUUCCAAUCCAUGCAAACAGUGUUCAAUAUGAAUGCCCUAGUUCCUCCUGUUAAUGAACCAGAAACUUUAAAACAGCAAAAUCAGUACCAGGCCAGUUAUAACCAGAGCUUUUCUAGUCAGCCUCACCAAGGAGAACAGAGCUUCAGCAAGAACAGCUUCAAACAGUGGUGGGCACAUACCAUGGUUCCCCGGACCAGUCCCAUCAAGUGACUGGUAACCACCAGCAGCCUCCUCAGCAGAACACUGGAUUUCCAUGUAGCAGUGAGCCCUAUUACAAUAGCCGUGGUGUGUCUCGUGGAGGUUCCCGUGGUUCUAGAGGCUUGAUGAAUGGAUACCGGAACCCUGCCAAUGGAUUCAGAGGAGGAUAUGAUGGUUACCACCCUUCAUUCUCUAACAUUCCAAACAGUGGUUAUACACAGUCUCAGUUCAGUGCUCCCCGGAUUACUCUGGCUAUCAACGGGAUGGAUAUCAGCAGAAUUUCAAGUGAAGCUCUGGGCAGAGUGGACCACGGGGAGCCCCACGAGGUUGCGGAGGUCCCCCAAGACCCAACAGAGGGAUGCCGCAAAUGAACACUCAGCAAGUGAAUUAAUCUGAUUCACAGGAUUAUGUUUAAUCGCCAAAAACACACUGGCCAGUGUACCAUAAUAUGUUACCAGAAGAGUUAUUAUCUAUUUGUUCCCCCUUUCAGGAAACUUAUUGUAAAGGGACUGUUUUUAUCCCAUAAAGACAGGAGUACAGUUGUCAGCUUUAUAUUACCUGGAUAUGGAAGGAAACUAUUUUUACUCUGCAUGUUCUGUCCUAAGCGUCAUCUUGAGCCUUGCACGUGAUACUCAGAUUCCUCACCCUUGCUUAGGAGUAAAACAAUAUACUUUACAGGGUGAUAAUAAUCUCCAUAGUUAUUUGAAGUGGCUUGAAAAAGGCAAGAUUGACUUUUUGACAUUGGAUAAAAUCUACAGAUCAGCCCUCGAGUUAUUCAGCAGUAACUGACAAACUAAAAUAUUUCCCUAGAAAGGAAUAUGAAAGGAGUGGAGUGUGGUUUGGCAGAACAACUGCAUUUCACAGCUUUUCCAGUAAAACUGGAGCACUGAACGUUUAGAUGCAUACCAGAUUAUGCAUGGGUCCUAAUCACACAUAUAAGGCUGGCUACCAGCUUUGACACAGCACUGUUCAUGUGGCGAAACAACUGUGGUUUAAAAACACACAUAAAAUGCUUUUUAACAGCUGAUAUUGUAUAAGACAAAGCCAAGAUGCAAAAUUAGGGUUUGAUUGGCACUUCUUGAAAAAUAUGCAACAAAUAUGGGAUGUAAUCUGGAUGGCCGCUUCUGUACUUAAUGUGAAAUAUUUAGAUACCUUUUUGAAUACUUAACAGUUUCUUUGAGACAAUGACUUUUGUAAGGAUUGGUACUAUCUAUCAUUCCUUAUGACAUGUACAUUGUCUGUCACUAAUCCUUGGAUUUUGCUGUAUUGUCACCUAAAUUGGUACAGGUACUGAUGAAAAUCUCUAGUGGAUAAUCAUAACACUCUUGGUCACAUGUUUUUCCUUCAGCUUGAAAGCUUUUUUUAAAAGGAAAAGAUAUCAAAUGCCUGCUGCUACCACCCUUUUAAAUGGCUAUCUUUUGAAAGGCACCAGUAUGUGUUUUAGAUUAAUUUCCCUGUUUCAGGGAAAUGACAGACAGUAGUUUCAGUUCUGAUGGUAUAAGCAAAAGAAAUAAAACAUGUUUAUAAAAGUUGUAUCUUGAAA